rnacentral:lncRNA from 1 species
GGCUGCUUUGGGAAGACAGUGAGACCCUUGCUUCUCGGGAUGUUCAGACAGAGCCUGGAUGUCCGGAUGUCAAGACAAAAGAAGGUCAAGAGGUCCACAGAUCUUCAGAUCUUCUGCCCCAUGUCCUUGAAACGAAAGGAUGUUUGGAUGUUACAUAAGUUUGGGGUCGCUCUGCUACCGGCUUUGCAGAUGGAUACUGCUGUGGAUAACAGGGAGGGUUUGAAUCAUUACAGCACUUAGGUAAGAGAAAUUAAAUAAUUAACUU